UACGUAGGGUCCAAGCGUUAUCCGGAAUUACUGGGCGUAAAGCGUGUGUAGGCGGGAGUUUAAGUGCAAUGCGAAAUCUUGUGGCUCAACCAUAUAGACUGUAUUGCAUACUGGACACCUUGAGGAUGGCAGAGGCAAGUGGAAUUUGUAGUGUAGCAGUGAAAUGCGUAGAUAUUACAAGGAACACCAAUGGCGAAGGCAGCAUUGCUGGGCCAAUAUCUGACGCUGGAGACACGAAAGCGUGGGGAGCGAACAGG
rnacentral:rRNA from 1 species